rnacentral:tRNA from 12 species
CAGGGGUAGAGCGCUUCCUUGGUAAGGAAGAGGUCACCGGUUCAAUUCCGGUUAUG